UGCUUCACUAAAAAAGACCUACAGCUUGGACAAAAGUCUAUAGCCGGUGCAUUCCUAGCUCCCCUUACACAGAGACAGACACAGUCAGAGAGAAGACAUGCUGGGUCUCAGCUCGGCUCUCCUCUGCGAGCAGCUGGAACGCUGGAUAUCUAUGGGUCUUGGGCCUGCAGCAAAAGGCAGACAGGGAAAAGCUGAAAGGCAAGAUGGUGUGUAGCUGUAGAGGGACUGAGGCGGGUGAAAGCAGCCGCGGAGCGAGCACUCUGAGCAGGCACACGUAACGAGUGGACGCUGAUGGAUCAUGAGAGCGGCCGCCGGAUGAGUGCGCGGCCGGAAAGAGCGCCUGCUCGCUGGGCGCGCAUGUGAGGAUCCGCCCGGGAGGCAGACUGAACUCUGGAUGUGUCAGUCAAACUGAGUUGGAAACGAGGACUGUGAGCGACAACCACAGCGUUUAAGUUUCUUGCCUGUAAAUCUCUGCUCUGCUUGGGGAGAUAAAACGACCCAAAUGAAAUGAAGACGCACGUCAAGAUUUUUUUUUUCUACUCAAGCAUGGCGGUGAUAAUUGGAUUGUGUGGACACCUGUAUGAGUGCAGUAUAUCCAGGGGAUUAGAGAAUGGGAUGGCUUUUGCAGGUUCUGUCUAGACCUGUGGGCUGAAUUCUCCUGAUUUGUCAUCUCACAGAGGACCAGAUCUCCACAUUUAGGGACGUCGGUGUCAGCACACUUGAAGCAUCAACUUUGACCUCUCAGUAAAUGCAUGCUUUGGAGCCAUGCUAAAAUGGUUGUGCAUAUGGAAUUUACUAAUGCCAAUGACUCAUUUCACCAAAAUAAAAUCCAAUCCAUUUUUAUAAUAAGAAUAUUUGAAUGCAAGAUAACUGAUUGUCUUCAAAAACGAUUUGUAAUUUCUGUCAUACGGUAUUGUUCUUUGUUAAUACAUCAUUGUAAGAAUCAUUUUGAAAUGUUUGGAGAUAGCUUACUUUGUUUUUGAGAGAGAUUUAAUGCAUUUUAUAUGUUUAUUCAAAAAUAAAGAAAGAUUUUAUAAAUACAUACAGUUUUAUAAUUAAGCUUCAUUCAAUUUACCCUAGUAAAAAGUAGUUAACUAUGCUACUACAGUUUUAAAAUACUGUAAAUCAGAAAAAAUAAAAUAAAUAAAAAAAUAAAGUUUUAAAGAACAAAGUUGAAGAUACAGAAGCUUUCAACUACAUAUUUUGCUACAAAAAAGAUAGAGGGAUUCAAAUGAAUCAGUGAAUUGUUUAUUUGAAUUGAGUUAUUGGAAUGAAGCAACCAAACAAACUGAUUUACUAAAAUCAGCUGCACUUUUCAAUAUUUUUUAAGGCAGUUUAGGUGAGUCUUUGAUUAUCUCAUUCAGCUAUGAAACUUUUUGUGUAAAAUAAUGUGAUAAAAGGUUGAAACAUUAAUUGUUAAUUUGUUAGUAAUACUCAUUUGGAAAAUUAAUUGCUUGUAUAUCAGUGACUUACAUUAAAAAACAACAAAAGAUUUGCCUGUCACAAUAUUGUGAUUUUUUUCUUAAUUGUCUUAAUUGUAAUUUUCUUGGCAUAUAUUGAUAUAUGCAACUAAUUAUUACAUAAUAUGUAAGUAAUUUCAUUAAAAUGCAUUAUCUUGCUUUGUUACUUUUCAUUAUUUUUUAAAAUGCUUUGUAUAUACGUGUUGGUUUUUACAAGGUUUUGAAAAACUUUAACUGUUUGAAUGUAAUGUCAUGUGAUAUGACCAUUAAGUAAAAUGUAUUAUAUUUUUAAUACCCCAUCCAAAUACAUGUGAGUGUACACAUCUUUAUUUUACUUCUACUUUUCGUGGUAAGUUUUUUGUUUGUUUUAACAAAUAUCAUAAACUAUAAAAUCCUAAAUGUCAUUUCAUUUUUAGGAAUCACACCACAUUACAUUUUAGAACCUGAACUAACCUGACUUGUCCUAAAAAUACCAAAUUAUCUGUUAAUAUGAGAGAUUUUUUAACAUAAUUUUGUUUUAUAUUUUUUCCCUACAUGUCUCUGCAUGGUUGCACCACAUG